rnacentral:rRNA from 1 species
CAGCAGCCGCGGGAAUACGUAGGUGGCAAGCGUUGUCCGGAAUUAUUGGGCGUAAAGGGCUCGCAGGCGGUUUCUUAAGUCUGAUGUGAAGGCCCCCGGCUCAACCGGGGAGGGUCAUUGGAAACUGGGAAACUUGAGUGCAGAAGAGGAGAGUGGAAUUCCACGUGUAGCGGUGAAAUGCGUAGAGAUGUGGAGGAACACCAGUGGCGAAGGCGACUCUCUGGUCUGUAACUGACGCUGAGGAGCGAAAGCGUGGGGAGCGAACAGGAUUAGAUACCCGUGUAGUCCCUGUCUCUUAUAC